GAUGAAGAACGCGGCGAAAUGCGAUAAGUAGUGUGAAUUGCAGAAUUCAGUGAAUCAUCGAAUCUUUGAACGCACAUUGCGCCCCUUGGUAUUCCAUGGGGCAUGCCUGUUCGAGCGUCAUUUGUACCUUCAAGCUCUGCUUGGUGUUGGGUGUUUGUCUCGCCUCUGCGUGUAGACUCGCCUCAAAACAAUUGGCAGCCGGCGUAUUGAUUUCGGAGCGCAGUACAUCUCGCGCUUUGCACUCAUAACGACGACGUCCAAAAGUACAUUUUUACACUCUUGACCUCGGAUCAGGUAGGGAUACCCGCUGAACUUAAGCAUAUCAAUAAGCGGAGGA
rnacentral:misc_RNA from 1 species